rnacentral:rRNA from 1 species
UACGUAGGGGGCUAGCGUUGUCCGGAAUCAUUGGGCGUAAAGAGCGCGUAGGCGGUCCGGUAAGUCCGCUCUGAAAGUCCGGGGCUCAACCCCGGGAGGCGGGCGGAUACUGUCGGGCUAGAGUCCGGAAGAGGCGAGUGGAAUUCCUGGUGUAGCGGUGAAAUGCGUAGAUAUCGGGAGGAACACCUGUGGCGAAAGCGGCUCACUGGACCACAACUGACGCUGAGGCGCGAAAGCUAGGGGAGCAAACAGG